rnacentral:rRNA from 1 species
UUGUGUAGUAGAUUACUAACGCAUGGGAUCCCAUAAGAACUCCGAAGUUAAGCGUGCUUGGGCGAGAGUAGUACUACGAUGGGUGACCUCCUAGGAAGUCCUCGUGUUGCACCCC